rnacentral:misc_RNA from 1 species
GUCCUACCUACUGCCCCGAGACAUCUUGUGAUCUGCGUGUCUCUUCAAUGGAGAACCAGGCAUCAGAUUCUACUUACAGUUGCCAUGCAAUAGGGAACAUUAAUGAAGAAUUGAAUGAAACUCUUGUACCUCAAAGUAGUGAACCUCAACCUAAGGUUCAUGAACCAACCGAUACUGAUCAUACAAUAGAGUCUGAUAAGGUCGAUUCUUAUGUGAGACAAUUGGAGGCAAGCAGC